rnacentral:misc_RNA from 1 species
GAUGAAGAACGCAGCGAAAUGCGAUAAGUAAUGUGAAUUGCAGAAUUCAGUGAAUCAUCGAAUCUUUGAACGCACAUUGCGCCCGUCAGUAUUCUGGCGGGCAUGCCUGUUCGAGCGUCAUUACGCCCCUCAAGUCCCCUGUGGACUUGGUGUUGGGGAUCGGCGAGGCUGGUUUUCCAGCACAGCCGUCCCUUAAAUUAAUUGGCGGUCUCGCCGUGGCCCUCCUCUGCGCAGUAGUAAAACACUCGCAACAGGAGCCCGGCGCGGUCCACUGCCGUAAAACCCCCCAACUUUUUAUAGUUGACCUCGAAUCAGGUAGGACUACCCGCUGAACUUAAGCAUAUCAAUAGCGGAGG